ACUGGCUCAGAUUGAACGCUAGCGGGAUGCCUUACACAUGCAAGUCGAACGGCAGCACGGACUUCGGUCUGGUGGCGAGUGGCGAACGGGUGAGUAAUGUAUCGGAACGUGCCUAGUAGCGGGGGAUAACUACGCGAAAGCGUAGCUAAUACCGCAUACGCCCUACGGGGGAAAGCAGGAGAUCGUAAGACCUUGCACUAUUAGAGCGGCCGAUAUCGGAUUAGCUAGUUGGUGGGGUAAUGGCUCACCAAGGCGACGAUCCGUAGCUGGUUUGAGAGGAAAACCAGCCACACUGAAACUGAGACACGGCCCAGACUCCUACGA
rnacentral:rRNA from 1 species